GUCUUAGGUUAAUUAAAGGUCUGCCCGCCCACUCAAUUAUUGAAGGGCCGCAGUAUUUUGACUGUGCAAAGGUAGCAUAAUCAUUAGUUUUUUAAUUAAAAGCUUGUAUGAAGGGUUGGACGAAGUAAAAUCUGUCUCUAUAAAAUUUAUUAUAGAAUUUAAUUUUUAAGUUAAAAAGCUUAAAUUUUUAUAAAAGACGAGAAGACCCUAUAGAGCUUUAUACAGAUUAUUUUAAUAUAAUUUAAGAAUAUUUUGAUUUUUAAUUAUAGUUUGUAUUUUAUUGGGGUAAUAAUUAGAUUGAAUUAAUUCUUUUUUAAUUAAUACAUUGAUUAAUGGUUAGUUGAUCCAAAAUUUUUGAUUAUAAGAUUAAGUUACCUUAGGGAUAACAGCGUAAUUUUUUUUGAGAGUUCAUAUCGAUAAAAAAGUUUGCGACCUCGAUGUUGGAUUAAAAAUUAUUCUGGGUGUAGAAGUUCAGAAUUUUGGUCUGUUCGACCAUCAAAUUUUUACA
rnacentral:rRNA from 1 species